ncrna:Branchiostoma belcheri (Belcher's lancelet) microRNA bbe-mir-34h precursor
GUUGUGAGGCAGUGUGAUUAGCUUGCCGUUUGAUUAUGACGUCACGGCAGCUACUCGCCCUGCCCCACAAA